rnacentral:rRNA from 1 species
AUUGAACGCUGGCGGCAGGCCUAACACAUGCAAGUCGAACGCAGUGGGGACGGGUGAGUAACACGUGGGUAACCUCCCAUCAGAGGGGAUAACACUUGGAAACAGGUGCUAAACCGAUACUGAUGGAUGGACCCGCGGUGCAUUGGCUAGUGGGUGAGGUAACGGCUCACCAAGGCCACGAUGCAUAGCGGGCCUGAGAGGGUGAUCGGCCACACUGGAAGUGAGACACGGCCCAGACUCCUACGGGAGGCAGCAGUGGGGAAUCUUCGGCAAUGGACGAAAGUCUGACCGAGCAACGCCGCGUGAGUGAAGAAGGUUUUCGGAUCGUAAAACUCUGUUGUUGGAGAAGCGGUAUCUAACCAGAAAGCCACGGCUAACUACGUGCCAGCAGCCGCGGUAAUAC